GGAGAAGAAAGAAUUCCAUAGUAAUAAGCCUGAAGUGAGUAACAAGAUAAGCUUGCUAUUCCUACUGUCAUCAACAAACAUUUUUAAAUCAAAGUUUGGAUCUCCAGAGUGAGGAGGACAUGGGGAUCAGUGAAUGAAACUGUCAAAAUACUGAAAAACAGAUAGAUGACUACGAACUUAAUCAACGUUGCCUUGAAGCAGAAGU